rnacentral:rRNA from 1 species
UGCAGUCGAACGGCAGCACGGAGCUUGCUCUGGUGGCGAGUGGCGAACGGGUGAGUAAUAUAUCGGAACGUACCCUAGAGUGGGGGAUAACGUAGCGAAAGUUACGCUAAUACCGCAUACGAUCUAAGGAUGAAAGUGGGGGAUCGCAAGACCUCAUGCUCGUGGAGCGGCCGAUAUCUGAUUAGCUAGUUGGUAGGGUAAAAGCCUACCAAGGCAUCGAUCAGUAGCUGGUCUGAGAGGACGACCAGCCACACUGGAACUGAGACACGGUCCAGACUCCUACGGGAGGCAGCAGUGGGGAAUUUUGGACAAUGGGCGAAAGCCUGAUCCAGCAAUGCCGCGUGAGUGAAGAAGGCCUUCGGGUUGUAAAGCUCUUUUGUCAGGGAAGAAACGGUGAAAGCUAAUAUCUUUUGCUAACGACGGUACCUGAAGAAUAAGCACCGGCUAACUACGUGCCAGCAGCCGCGGUAAU